rnacentral:rRNA from 1 species
CAACCUCGUUGAACCUUAAUGUAGGAUUGCCUCUCCUCCGGGAGGGGGGACCUACGUCUUCUCAACAUCUUCGUGUAGAAAGUCUUUGAAUGUUUACUAUCAUCGAGUCGCGACUUCUAGGAGACGCGAUUCUUUGAGAUAAAAGUUAUUACAACUUUCAGCAACGGAUCUCUUGGCUCUCGCAUCGAUGAAGAACGCAGCGAAAAGCGAUAUGUAAUGUGAAUUGCAGAUCUACAGUGAAUCAUCGAAUCUUUGAACGCACCUUGCGCUCCUCGGUGUUCCGAGGAGCAUGCCUGUUUGAGUGUCAGUAAAUUCUCAACCCCUCUCGAUCUUCUUCGAAGAGGGCGCUUGGAUAGUGGAGGUUGCCGGAGACUCGGAUUCGUUCCGAGACUCGGGCUCUUCUGAAAUGCAUCGGCUUGCGGUCGACUUUCGACUAUGCGCGACAAGGCUUUCGGCGUGAUAAUGAUCGCCGUUCGCCGAAGCGCAUGACAGAAGGUUCCGCGCCUCUAACGCGUCGACCGCUUACUAUCUCUCCGGAGAGAACGGCGUCUUCCUAAUAGACUUUUGACCUCAAAUCAGGUAGGACUACCCGCUGAACUUAAGCAUAUCAAAUAAGCGG